AUUGCCUACUAGAGUGGGGCAAUGGUGGGAAAGCAUUCCGUUUCUAACUUCUGCAGUGGUGAUUGUUUGUGGGACUAUCUACUUGGUCUGCCUUUUCAUCGGAUAUGACUCCUUUUAUGAAAUAUGCUUCUUGCCAUCUGCUGUUAUCUCACGAUUUCAAGUUUACAGGAUUUAUACAUCCAUUAUUUUUCAUGGUUCAUUGCUUCAUGUGCUGUUCAACAUGCUGGCUUUGGUGCCUUUGGGUUCUGAACUCGAGAGAAUCAAAACAACUUUUAGUGGGGAAAUAAAUUCUCCACUAAUAAUCAAAAUUUUCCCACUAAAAAUUAUAUUAAUGGGAAAAAAAUCACUGGCAAUAUCUGCUCCGCAAAAAAAAAUUUAAAAUUUGUAACAAAUUUUUCAUA